GGUUAAAAAGCUCGUAGUUGGAUUUCUGUUGAGGGCGACCGGUGUACACCUCGUGUAUUAUUUGGUUCGGUCUCGGCAUCCUCUUGGGGAACGUUUCUGGACUUUAUUGGACAGGGCGAGAUUCAAGACUUUUACUUUGAGGAAAUUAGAGUGUUCACGGCAGGCAAGCGCUUUGAAUACAUUAGCAUGGAAUAAUAAUAUAGGACCUUCGUUCUAUUUUGUUGGUUUCUAGAACUUAGGUAAUGAUUAAUAGGGACAAUUGGGGGCAUUCGUAUUAACGCGUCAGAGGUGGAAUUCUUGGAUUGCGUUACGACGAACUACUGCGAAAGCAUUUGCCAAAGAUGUUUUCAUUGAUCAAGAACGAAAGUGCGGGGAUCGAAGACGAUUAGAUACCGUCGUAGUCUAUACCAUAAACUAUGCCAACUAGAGAUUGGAGGGGUUCUCCUAUUUGGCUCCUUCAGCAUCU
rnacentral:rRNA from 1 species